rnacentral:rRNA from 1 species
CUACGGGAGGCUCCAGUGAGGAAUAUUGCACAAUGGGGGGAACCCUGAUGCAGCAACGCCGCGUGGAGGAUGACGCAUUUCGGUGUGUAAACUCCUUUUAUAUGUCAAGAAAAUGACGGUAGCAUAUGAAUAAGCACCGGCUAACUCCGUGCCAGCAGCCGCGGUAAUACGGAGGGUGCAAGCGUUACUCGGAAUCACUGGGCGUAAAGGACGCGUAGGCGGGUUGGAAAGUCAGGUGUGAAAUCCUACAGCUUAACUGUAGAACUGCAGUGAAACUUCUAAUCUAGAGUAUGGGAGGGGGAGAUGGAAUUAGUGGUGUAGGGGUAAAAUCCGUAGAUAUCACUAGGAAUACCUAAAGCGAAGGCGAUCUCCUGGAACAUUACUGACGCUAAGGCGUGAAAGCGUGGGGAGCAAACAGGAUUAGAUACCCCGGUAGUC